rnacentral:lncRNA from 1 species
UUGUUAUAUGGGUAUAUUGAGAGAUGCUGAGGUUUCGGGUACAACCGAUCCUGUCACCAAGGUAGUGAGCAUAGUACUCAACAGGGUCUUUGAGUUCUCCACUGAAUGCUUUCCAAUAAGCCAGGAGAUGAGGGAUGAGAAAGAGUACACAAAGAAUCUCAUGAGAAUAGUUUCAGGAACUUUAGGCCAGACCUAGAAGUGGAUAUAUGACUUCCACAUAUGUUCCAUUGGCCAGAACUCCAUUGCAUGGUCCCAACUAACUGCAGAGGAAUCAGAAAUGUAGUCUA